CGAGUUUCAGUCUUGAAGAGCCACAUAAUGCAUACGAGCAUCAUCAAAGCAAACUUAACAUGCACGAAUGCCAUCAUAAGAAGGUUUAACAUACACAUUCAAUUCAAAUAGAUAUCAUUGAUUACAUCAUUUCAAUUCAAUACAAUACACAUCAUGCAGACGACUAGGAAUCAACAAGGCUGACCUAGCACAAACCAACUGUGAACACAUCCUGCGCUUUUAUUUCUGCUUGAUCAAGCCUUGUACCGGUCAGUCGACCUUCGCCGCGCCACCUGUGCGCAAUUAUGACCACAGGCUGCAAAGUAACAGAGCUUCGCAGCAAUUCAAUUGUAAGCCAGUCAGUUGAAUAUAUAUCAGCACCAACGCGCUCCAGACUAGCACCACGGCCUAGCAUCACGGCUAAGGAUGAGGAUGAAGAUCAGAAUCACAAGACAAACACCNNNNN
rnacentral:lncRNA from 1 species